CCAGGAACUGCCCAGACCAUCUGUCAGAACAGACACAGGUGGUGAGGCCUGAUAAGGGCUGGAGGACAUUACAUCAUAAGAAGCAGCCAACCAGCUGGCUACUGCAUUACUUCACCCACUACUGCACGACUGGUCACACCAAGAUGACCCCCAACACACCACUGGUCACACCCAAACACCAACAUCUGGCUGGUGACACCCAAGAAGAUGAGCCUGUGACUGGUGGCACACUAGAGCACACUCACCGCCCACCUGCCCCAGAUGGGGAUAGAAAGGCAAGCCUCCCAACUGCUCUGUAUCCCCUCGGGGACCAGGGCUCAGUGCCAGCGAAACUCUGCCUGAGUGUUCACUGACUGAAGCGCUGCUCGCCACUCCGCUGGAGCCAAUCUCACCUGCACGUCCCAGCUACUGCCAGAGCUGACAUCGGAGCCGGACCAGACCUCUCAUCAGGUGACCUCUCCAACCCUUCUCCUUGCCAUCCGUCUUGGAACUUCGAGCCUACUGCCCAGAGUGCCAGCCAUCCCUUGACUCCUGCCCAGGUCCCAUCUGCAUGCUUCCCGGUGCCUGAACUCAAGCUGCCCUGAAAUAUUCACAAGUGAACAGAAGCUCCUGUGGGUACUCCUUCCUGCCCACAGGCCCACCUCCAUAGAGCCAGAGGACCUGGCAGCAGCUGUUCAGAUGCAGAAUGGAAAGCAACGACAAACCUGGAAGGAAGUGGGGAUGCAGACAAGGUUCAGAUUCUCCUGUUUCACUCUUUCAGCUGUGGAGACAAAAGCGUAUCUGAUGGAACAAGAACACAAGGCUCAGCCAUUCUCCCUCACUGCCCAGAGGAGAUAAACUUUGAGAUGUAUUCCUUGCCCUUGAAUCUCAAUUGGGUCUCACACCCUAUUGCUUUUACACCCCACCCUGCAUUCUUUUCCAGGUUCCCAAGGCCCCCCCACCCACCCAGUUCCUGGAAUUCCCCUCCCCCUGCUGCCCCCUACUCCAACCCCAGCCUAGCCUUCCUUAAGAUCAGGCCCCUGGGAGUCAAGGCCUUCUGCCACAGGCUCCAUCUUGUACACGCAGGCAGUUGGUCACCUCCCUCUACAGAUUUGUUUUCUCUGAAUAAAUCCGGUCUGACUGUAAAUUCA